GCGACUUCUUGGAGUAGAACAAAGUCAUGACGGUGCCCACCUCGAGGCUGCGGCAGAGCACCGCCAAAAUUGAGGACACCCACGGUCGCGGUGGAGCCUGUCUGACAUGUUGAGCCAGGCAGUGGGUCGGCUGCCAGGCACAGCAGGACAACUUACUGCAUUUCAGAGGAAUGAUGGUCCACAAUUUACUGAUGAGGAAACAGAGAUUCAGAGAAGUUCUACAAUUUGCCCCAAAGCCACAUAACAUGACUAGGUGGGAACUAGAACCCAAGUCGGCCUGACUCCAUGAGUUU
rnacentral:lncRNA from 1 species